UGCCAGCCGCCGCGGUAAUACGGAGGGUGCAAGCGUUGUUCGGAAUCACUGGGCGUAAAGCGCGUGUAGGCGGUUUUUUAAGUCGGAUGUGAAAUCCCUCGGCUCAACCGAGGACGUGCAUCCGAUACUGGAGAACUAGAGUACCGGAGGGGAUGGUGGAAUUCCUGGUGUAGAGGUGAAAUUCGUAGAUAUCAGGAGGAACAUCAGUGGCGAAGGCGACCAUCUGGAAGGUAACUGACGCUGAGACGCGAAAGCGUGGGGAGCAAACAGGAUUAGAUA
rnacentral:rRNA from 1 species